GUCCUCUAGGUGCAUUUCUUAGCCAGGGUGUGUAAUGACAGCUCUCUUUCCGAAUGUAUCCAUUUGCAUCCACUUCUUUAAAAUGAUUCUUUGUGGUAAUGCAGGUAUUCGUGAUAUUGAUAUCUAGAUCUAAAAAAUUUAUACUUUCCUCACUUAUUUGCGCCGUUAAAACAAUAUUCCAAUAAUUUUUAUUUAAAAAGGUGAUAAAAACAUCUAACUCUGUCCUAGUUCCCGUCCAGAUAAAAAAUAUAUCGUCCAUGAAACGACGAUAGCACACCAAGUCCGCUACCCAGGUAUGUCUCCCAUAUACAAACUUCUCUUCCCAAUAUGCCAUGAACAGGUUCGCAUAACUGGGAGCGAACUUGGUGCCCAUCGCCGU